GAUGAACGCUGGCGGCGCGCCUAACACAUGCAAGUCGAACGGCACCUGCCUUCGGGCAGAAGCGAGUGGCGAACGGCUGAGUAACACGUGGAGAACCUGCCCCCUCCCCCGGGAUAGCCGCCCGAAAGGACGGGUAAUACCGGAUACCCCGGGGUGCCGCAUGGCACCCCGGCUAAAGCCCCGACGGGAGGGGAUGGCUCCGCGGCCCAUCAGGUAGACGGCGGGGUGACGGCCCACCGUGCCGACAACGGGUAGCCGGGUUGAGAGACCGACCGGCCAGAUUGGGACUGAGACACGGCCCAGACUCCUACGGGAGGCAGCAGUGGGGAAUCUUGCGCAAUGGGGGGAACCCUGACGCAGCGACGCCGCGUGCGGGACGGAGGCCUUCGGGUCGUAAACCGCUUUCAGCAGGGAAGAGUCAAGACUGUA
rnacentral:rRNA from 1 species